GUAAUCAUUUUCUAGGUUGAAAUAUGCUGUUAAGUCUUUAUAUUUUAUUGAAUAAUUGAAAGAUAUGCAGACAUAAUAUGUUGUAUAGAACAAAACAAAGGGUACUUGAAAAAGUAUGCCAUUCUAGUAGACAAUGUUACGAAAAGGUAUAUUCACGAUGCUGGGUUGACAAAUUACACUUUAAAUGUGGGGACUGUGUCAAAACGCAAAAGAGAUUACCUGUAUAUACAUUGGAUUUUAUUUAAAAACUGCAUUUCGCAGGCAAUUCCGUAUGGAACGAAUAUUCAAUAACAUUUAUACCAUAAGAAAUAUAAGAAAUAGAUAUUAAUAAUUUCCAUUAUAUUUUUAAGAAAAUAUACAGCAAAAAAUUGGGGGACGAUCAUGUUAAUGCAGUAGAUGUGCGGUACAACGGAGACACGGGGUACAUACGUGAGUGAAUUCAUUGACGAGGCCUUAAUAGAUCUUGCAAAUAAUCUUAAGUAUUAUAAUCUGUUUUAUACCUUCUCUUAAAUAUAUAUGUAACGGUCAUUUUUAUAUAGUUUAAAAAAGCUAACAGUGUAUGUAUUUUGAUCCAGUUGUUUGCCACCUAAAGUUGUAUCUAACGGG
rnacentral:lncRNA from 1 species